CCGGCUGGCCUGGUCCUCGCGCGCCCGCUGCAGCUCCGCGGCCCGACAGUAGAGGCCUCCCUUCCGAGGAGGCGGCGCAGGCUGAGCUCGGCUACCCGGCGAGGUCCCCGCACGGCCGGCCGGGCGCGGUGUUCCCGGGCCGCUGUCUCCCGCUGCAAGCGCGGCGGCGCCGGGUGUCGGAGGUUUCUAAUGUGAGGAAAAACAUGGAAUGACAAGUGUGGGGAAGAGCAAGCACUAAAUUACUGUCAGAAAAGUAAACGGAGCAGCACAGUGGUGCUCGGUGAUUUACAGGGGCAAUUAGUCCCCACCCCAGAGUGCUGCGGAGGAGAGCAUGGCAGCAGACCUCUCAGGCCCACGAGGAGGAAGAGGCGUUGCGAUACUCUGCAGACAACGUUUUGAACGAGAGAGGAUCAUGCUGGUCAUUCCAGGGCCUCUUCUGUGGCAGGCACAUUCUCAUCUGUGAGUGACACCCUUGACUUCCCAGUAGUCACACUCUGAGGUGACUUCACAGAGAAUGGUUGCAGCCAAUCAUUGAGGGAAGGCAAGAACUCAAGGCAGGAACCUGGAGGCAGGAACUGAAGCAGAGACCACACAGAGGAAGCUGAGAUGACAAUGGCUUCAUGAAGGGAGUCAUUAAUAAAUGAAGAGCCAAGCCAGCAUGGUAGAUAUACGAAGAACGUGAAGCAUUCUAGCCUACAAAGAAUGACGGUGGCUUUUCUGGACUCUGAAAAUCACUGCUAAUAGAUACAAAUUUUUCACACUACAAAUCAGUUUCCAAAUUACUGUAAAGUCACUAGCUAGUGGCUUAAAUAGUUGCCAUUGAAAAUAUAUUUAGGGUGUGUUGUCCAGGCUGAAAAUAAAAGAUAAUCAAGAUUUAGUCUGAAGGAAAAAGAAUAAAUGUAUAUAGCACACCUAUUACAUGCCAAGGACUUUGUAUUUGUGAUCUCACUUAAUUUUCACAACAGUUAAUGAGUGAUUUACACCCACUUCUUGGACAUGGAAGUAACGGAGCCCCAGAGAGGAUGUGCAAGGAUACGUCACGAAGACAGAGUGGCUGGCACGCAGAGACAAUCUUGUUUGCACACAGCUCCUUACAGUGGUAACACCCGUCUUGGCUGUGCUGCAUCACAGAGCCUCUGGAGCUGCCUGUCAGGUGUGUGUAAGGAAUUAUGGUCGUAUCCUUCCUGCCUCACUGUGGACACUUGUGGGCUCAACAUUGCUGUCUAACUGAAGGGCACAAAUGGACAUGGCUUCUUUGAAGUCUAUGCUCUUAAAGUUCUUCUGUGGGAACAGCUCCGCUUCCAUGUGGGGGCAUGUCUCUACAGGACAGGAAGGGUUAAGCUAACAGUCGGUAAAAUUUAGGAACUUGUAAUUUACAGUUUUGAUGGUGUGUGUGUGCCAACUGUUGGAAAUCAGAAUGGUGAUUACAUGGGGUAGAGGAGUGACUUCGCACGGGCACCAGGUGACUUGUGGGGUCUUCUGCUCGAUGCAGACACUGGUUAUGUGAGCAUGCUCACUUAGUAGGAAUUGACUAAGUUUGUAAAUUUACAAUUCGGACAGUUUUCUGUGCAUGCAUAUCAUACUUCAGUGAUGUUUACCAAAAGAAAGAAACAAUGUUUUGUUUAGGAGAGUCCUACUUGUUCUUUCUGUAGUGAUGCUGUUUGUUUUGAAAUUUGGAGACUGUAAGCAGGGAAGUCCGUGUGGACUUUGUUGGGUUAGCAUGUGCACUUAUGUAAGCAUGUGCACUAAUGUAAGCAUGUGCACUAAUGUAAGCAUGUGUACUAAUGUAAGCAUGUGCACUUAUGUAAGCAUGUGCACUAAUGUAAGCAUAUGCACUAAUGUAAGCAUAUGCACUUAUGUAAGCAUGCAUGGCUACAUCUUGGAUAGGGAGAAAUAUUUAAUUCUUUUAUUGUCGCUUUUUUCUUUUC